rnacentral:lncRNA from 1 species
UAUCAUAUUCUAAGAAAGCUUAUUACAAACUGAGGUCUGGCUUCCUUCAUAUUCAGAAUUUUAGGAAUUAUUCCUUAACUUUAAUUUUUUUUUCAAUACGGUCUCAAUAGAGGCGACUCCCAGACCUGGCCAAGGGAAGUUGCACAGUGUGAUUGUCUUCUUAACAUAAUUUGUGAAAUAAACAUUUGGGUUUGUUUUGACCUUUUAAAAAAAAGAUGCACGUUUUAUGUUGGUACACAGACUCAGAUGCCCUCUUGGCAGUAUUUUUAUUUUUUCUAAUGUAUUGUCAUUGCUCAAAGCAUUUGUCUGGCAUUCUUCAUAAAGUUCAUUCAGAAACAAUACAUACUUUUUUUGUGCCAGGAAUUGUGGGUGUCAAGGACGGGAGACUCACGGAUGAGAAAGGUAUCUAAUCUUUGCCAUGAAGGACCUUAGUUCAGUAGGAAGUUAGGCAUGUGAACAAAUAAUUGCAAUAAUGCAGUGUAGUCAAUGUUAAAAUCCACUUGUGAAUGUAGUUCCUGGGAGCAGAUAAAAGUUAUGGGCACAAUAGCAAAAUCAGCCUCAUCGAUUUUUCUUGUGGUGUGACCACAAGCAGAAUUGUGCAAUUUAAUCACACUUUAAGACGUGCAUCUGAAUGAUUCCCAGCUGUUGGAAAGAAAUCUCAUCUUUCUUAUGGCAGGCUUGUUUACUGCCCCCUGGGGAUGGUGAAAAGAAGGAUUUCCAAAAACGUAAUGAUCAGUGACCACAUCUUUGGAUAUGUAUAGAGUUUCCCAUGGAGACUACUUUAAGGGGAGAUAGUGCUUAUUUGUUUGCUUACGUUCUGGCAUUAUAUUGUAAGCCAGUCGUGUUGCUUUAGAGUAUAGUUCAUCAGGAGAGGCAGUAGCCCGCCCUGGUUAAGAGUGUGGGUUUUGGCCAGUUUUGCUUGUUUUUCCUUAGCGCUCCUUCUUACUAGCUGAGCAGUCUUGGGUAAGUCACCUAAAUCUUCUUGAGCCUCACUCUUCAUCUAUAAAAUGGGGGUAAUAAUAGUUGUGAGGAUUAAAUGGUUUAAUAUCCGUAAAACAUUUAGAAUAUGGUGGCCAUGUGUAAGUGCCGUGUAUGUAAGAAUUAGCUGCUAGUACCCUGGAUGUGAUUGGAGGUAAUGAAAGUAUGUUCCAGAUGUGGGUUAUGAAAGGCAACUUUGUGUGUGACCACAAUAGGUAGGGCAUGUAAGGCGGUGAAGCAUUUCAUUUCUUAUUUAAAAUAUUAUUUUUUUCCCAAUUACAUUGUUAUCUUAGAAAAAUAUAAAAAUAUCGAAAAAUACCAAGCAGGGGGAAAAAAAUCUCCUCUAAUUCUCCAAAGAUAACCACCGUGUUAUCUACUGUGUUGGUGUUUUCUUAGAAUAUUAUAAUUCUGCCUAUUAUGUAUGUGAUGUAUGCAGUAUGAUCCUAAUUUUAUCUAGAUUAUAUUUAUGGUACAUAUUUAUACAAGAGAUAGUUUAGACAAAAAUUGAAAUCAUGAUGUGCACAUUUUGUACCCGGCUCUUUUUCAACUUACCAGAAUCCAGUAUAUUGUGAAUAUUUUUCCAUGUCAUUACAAUUAUGGUAUUAUAUUUCAUCCUAUGGAUUUUUUUCCCCUGCCAUUAUAAAUUAUCCUCCAGUGACCAUUCUUGCACAUAAAUCUCUGUGCAAAUCUCUGGUAUUUUCCAUAGGGUAAAUUAAAAGAAGGCGAAUUGUCAAGUUAACGUCUGUAAAGAUUUUUGGUUUGCGUUGUCAGAUAGCCACCCAGAGGGCUGAUGCCCGUUCUUCUCUGACAGGCAGGGCACGAGAAUGCAUAUUUGGUACAUCCUCCUCAUCCCUGGGAACUGUCAUGAGAUAAAAAUAUUUGCCAAGUUGGAUGAGAUGAGUAGGAGCUCACUGGAGAACUAAUUUGUAUUUCCUUAAUUGCUAAGCACUGCGUGGUUGAAUAUCCUCCUACCAUGAUUAUUGGCCAAAUAUAGUUCUUUUGUGAUUUGUUUAUUCAUGUAGCUUUCAUUCAUUUUGCUUCUGUAUGUCUUUUCUCAUUGACUUGUCAGAGCUCUUCAUAGAUGAGGGAUGUUAUUAUGGGUUAAUCAGGUGCUGCAAAUAUUUUUCCUAGUUUGUUUAUUGCCCGCCUUUUACUUUUGUAUUUUUGUUAUUCAAGUUUUCCUUUAUUUGUGUAUAGGGGAACUUUUCCCACCUAAAUAGCUGAUGAAUAGUCACUUAUAUGUCCUUCGAACUAUUUUAUAUUUUAGCUUUUUUCCCAUGUAAUUCUUGUAAAGCAUCUAGAAUUUAGGUGGUGCAUGAUAUGGAGUACUUGUCUCAUUUCUCUCAAAUGGUUAACCAGUUAUUCCUGCUGCAUUUAUUGAUUAGCUUGAUUGCCAGUAUACUCAGAUCUGCUUUUUAUUCUAUUUCUUUUGUUUUGUCUGUUAUUCUCGACACACCAUUUUAAUGACUAGCGUUUUGUGACACCUUUCAGUGUCUGGCAGUGCAAGGCCCCCGUGAUUAUUCUUUGUUUCAGAAGUUCCUUGGUUCUUGCACUGAGAAGAAAACUUAAAUUUUAUUCCAGAGAAGCUUAAAAAUCACUUUUCAGGGUCUUCUGUGUAUCCCACCAAUCUUUUGGUGUUUUCAUUGUUACUGCAUUCAAUUUUUAACUUAAUAUGGAAAGAACUGAGAUAUUUACGGUAAGUAGAUUUUCUUAUUCCUUUAAAUUUUUGGGGGGGUCUUUUUUUUUGCCUUUUUCUAGGACUGCUCCCGCAGCAUAUGGAGGUUCCCAGGCUAGGGGUCCAAUCGGAGAUGUAGCCACCAGCCUACGCCAGAGCCACAGCAACGUGGGAUCCGAGCCGCGUCUGUGACCUACACCACAGCUCACGGCAACGCCGGAUCCUUAACCCACGGAGCAAGGGCAGGGACCGAACCCACAACCUCAUGGUUCCUAGUCGGAUUCGUUAGCCACUGAGCCACAACAGGAACUCCUCCAUUAAAUUUUUUAAGUGGAAUGUGAGAAAGGUUUUUUGUGUGUGCCCCUUUAAUAAUUGGCCACAAUCCAGACUGUAUCCUUAUCAAUCUAACAUUUUUUUUUUCAGUUGAUUUUCUUGGUUUUUCCAGGUGUGUGCUAGGUAGAUAAUUCACUCAUUUGUAAAUAGAUAUAAUUUGGUCUCUCUCCUUUCAGUAAUUAUACACUCGUCCUUUUUUCCUCUUGUGUUAUUACAUUGGCCAGAGCCUGUAAAUAGUGGGGAUAGCAGAUAGUCAUGCCCGUAGUGGCGAUGCUUUGGGAUUCUAGUAUUAAGUGUAAUGAUAGUUGUUGGCAAUAAUCUUUGACUCUUAGUUUGGCUUUUUUACCCCUAAAGACUGAAGUUGAAUUUUUAUUGAACAUUUUUUGACAUCUGUUUAGAUGGUAAUGUUUUCCUCUCAGCUACCAAUAGGAUAUAAUCUCUUAAUAUAGUUUCCGAUAUUGGUUCCUUGUGAUAAAUCCUACUUGGUCCUGUUAUACUGGCCUUUAACAGAUUGCUGAAUUCAGCCUUUUUUAUUUCAAUUAGGAAAAUGAGAUGGGUUUGUAGCAGUGAUUACCAAGGAAGCUGGAGGGUGGUCACCCCUAGGGGGUAUAUCAGGAACUUCCGUGAGGCUUUUUUUUUGAUUGGCUAAGUUCCCCGGGCUAGGGAUUGAACCCACACCACAGCAGUGACCCGAGCCACUGUGGUGACAACACUGGCUCAACCCAUUGAGCCACAUGGGAGCUCUAAGGAGUAUUUAAUAUACAUGUUACAGCCAUAAUUCAUACUAGAGUUAGUAAAACUUUAAGCUCUUUUGGCUAACAUGGAAGGAGGUAAAAAUAUUGAGAAAUAUUCCUUUUUGUGCUUUGUUUUCAAGUUUUGAUACAUAGGUAAGCCUGUGUCACAAAAUUAAUUGCACCAUUUACCCCCUUCUGUGCUCUAGAGCCGUUUAUAGAACAUCGGUAUUAUUUGUCCUUGGAAGUUUAAGCUAAAUUAACUUGUAAAGCUCUUCAUAUGAUGUUGGGGAAUUUUUGGAUAACUUUUUCAAUAUCUUCUAGUUAAUGGUCUAUUUUGUUUUUCUCUUCUUGAGUAAAUUUGGUCAUUAUGUUUUCUUAGAAAUUGAGGUUUCAGGUUUGUAGUCACGGCAUUGAACAUAACAUUCUCCGGUUUACUCAGAGUUGUUCAUCUUUUCAUAAUGUAAAAAUUCCAUAUUCAUUCUUUGUAUCUCCUUUUAAUUGUAAUUUUCUGUAUACAUGUAUUCUCUUCAGGAAUUAUUUCUGCCUGUUUCAAAACGAGCUCUUGAAUUUGUUUCUGCUCAUUCAUUUAUCUCUACCUUUGUUUUUACCGUCUCCUUCCUUCUGCUUUGCUUGAAAGUCUUUUGUUUUUAUUUCACUAAAUUCUUGAGACGAAGGCUUUGUUCGUCAUUUUUUUUUUUAAUACAGAAAGCACUUCAAAAUCUUAAAAAUAAUUUUCUGUGUUUCUGUAGCGAUUUGUGCAUGUUUUCAUAGCACUUAUCCUUCAGUAUUAUAAUGAUUUUUUGUUAAUCUCUUUGCUCCCUCCCUCCUUAGUUUAUUUGCCUCUGUACUCCAGCUCAUGUAGAGUCUUGAACACAUAUGGAUUAAAAAUGUUUCUUUCUUUUUUUUCUUUUUCUUUUUUUUUUUUUGCUUUUUAGGGCCAAACCUGUAGCAUAUAGGAGUUCCCAGCCUAGAGUUCCAAUCAGAGCUGUAGCUGCUGGCCUACACCACAGCCAAAGCAAUGUGGGAUCCAAGCCGCAUCUUAGACCUACACACACAGCUCAUGUCAGCGCAGGAUCCCUGACCCACUGAGUGAGGACAGGGCUUGAACUUGCAUCCUCGUGGAUAUUAGCCAGAUUCGUUUCCACUGCGCCACAACGGAACUCCCUAAAUAGUGUUUCUUGCAUGAAUAUCAGUCCCUCCCUCUCCUCACACACACAUAUACACACCCUGCACAGGAAAUUAACCAAAUCCCAAACUUUUCUUUGUAUCGUGUAGACUUCUAUAGCUCUUCCUGUGAGGUACUAGCUGCCCUAGUGGAAGGAGCACUUCACUCGUAGUUAGGAGGCUAGACAUCUGGUCUUACAUCUGUCACUUGCUAGGCAUUCAGUACCUGGAAUGGGUCCCUCAGUCUCUGUAAAAUCGGGGUGAUCAUCGCUUUCCCUCUCUGCUUCGUCUGAAUUCUUGUCAAAAGAUAAUGAAUGUAAAAUACCUUUGAACACUAACAAAAGCUAUAUAGAGAUAAAUAUGAUUUAAAAUAAAAGGCUUUUGGAGUUCUCUUGUGGCGCAGUGGGUUAAGGAUCCAGCAUUGUCAUUGCAGCACCUAGGGUCGCUGCUAUGCUGCGGGUUUGAUCCCUGGUCCAGGAACUUCCAUGUGCUGCAGUGCAGCCAAAUAAAAGUCAAUUAAAAAACAAAAUAAAAGCCUUUUUGUAUUCUCUUAUCUACCACUUCACCAGUUCCACUUCCCAAUAUAGAAAUUAUCAAAUUUUGGGGGGCCGAAACUGUUAAAAAUAUGUAUGUAUAAAGUUGUGUCCUUUGAAAUAUCUACCACAGAACUUUGUUGACAGAUACACAGUAAAUAUUUGUUGACUGACUAUUUCCUGACUCAUUUUUCAAAUGCUCACUACCGAGUGAUCCUUAAGCUUUCCAAGACCUAGGCCCCCUGUACCCAACCAUGGGAUUUCUAGUUUACUGUGAAAAAAGGCUUCUAGUUGACUUGCGAUGACCUAGACAGCUGCAUCAACAUGCAGUUGAUGGAAUGGAUGUGGAAGUUCCUUUUGUGGCUCAGUGGCUAACGAACCCAAUUAGGAUCCAUGAGGCUAUGGGUUCGAUCCCUGGCCUUGCUUAGGGGGUAAAGGAUCUGGUGUUGCUGUGAGCUGUGGUGUAGGUAGCAGAUGAGGCUCGGAUCCCACUUUGCUGUGGCUGGGGUGUAGGCCAGCGACUACAGCUCUAAUUUAACCCCAGCCUGGGAACUUGCAUAUGCCACAAGUGUGACCUUAAAAAGCAAAAAUAAAAUAAAAUAAAAAAUAAAUGGAUAUGCCUUGUUUGAGGACAUAAACCUUUUGGGACACUCCUAUUUCCUCUACAGAGGAAAGCUGGAGACAUAACUUUCUUCCCAACAUAUAGACUCAUUUGAUAACAAAUUAUAAAAUUCUCUUCCAUUGUCAGAAGUCUGAGAGCAGUUUUUUAAAAAAAAUUAUUUGAAGGCAAAAGAAAUAAACGGCAAUUCCUUCCCUUUCCAUUACAAUUACAAUUGCAUUGCUUCCCUUGCCCCAAGAUUUAUUUUUAUUUUAAACUUAUUUUGUGUAUUGCUUUGGAGGAGUGAUACUAUAUCACUGUCUCUUAUACUUAAGACUUCACAUGUUCUUUGGGGAAGUGAAUGCCGUCUAAGUCCGUCGUAGAUGAGGAGAUCACUUUUAAAAAGUGCUAAAGGCCUUCCAAAGACAGUGUUGGUAUUUUUCUGUGUAAUUGUUAAAUAUUCUAAGAAUGGUACUCACUGAAGGGCUUCACAUGACCACUGACAUUUCAGUUCUGUGUUUCUGGGAGAGUGUGUGAGUGUGCAGUACCCCUCCUGUGCCCCCCCCCAAUCUCUCCCUCCCCGUUUUUAAAAACAGUUCAUUGCAGCUGGAAAAAGGUGGUAUAACUUUAAAAACACAGAUACCCUUUAGUCAACUUUUAAAGAUUCCUAUGAGACUUUAUAUCUCCAAUAAUUGAUGGCAAAUUCUGUUUGGUUGUUUUUAAGCUCACACUGUGAGGAUGUACAAAAAAAAGUUUCCCUCGGCGUUCGCCUUGUAGCUCAGCAGAAACGAAUCUGACCAGCAUCCAUGAGGACGCAGGUUCCAUCCCAGGCCUCGCUCAGUGGGUUGAGGAUCCGGCAUUGCUGUGCUCUGUGGUGUAUGUAGGUCGCAGACGUGGCUUGAAUCCUGCAUUGCUGUGGCUGCGGUGUAGACCAGCAGCUAUAGCUCCAAUUCAACCCCUAGCCUGGAAACCUCCAUAUGCCAUGGGUAUGGCUCUAAAAAAACAAAAAAAAAAAAAGAAAAAAAAAAAA